CAAGAAACAUCAGAAUUAUCUGGCAGUGGAAGAUAGUCCUAAUGUGAGAAAAGCCCAAGGAUAUGAGUGAGAGAACCCAUUGAUGAUAUAUGUAUUGAGCAGCUGGUGAAAGCAUUUUCAAUUCCAAGCAAGUUCAUCAAAAUUCCAGCAAUGACAACCCUGUUUUGCUCCCAUUUUCACUUCAAGUUGAGUCAUUUAAUUUUGGGAAGUGUUAUCCACCCAUGUGCUUGUGAACCUCUUCACAAUCACUUCUAAGACCUUUAAAAGCCCGAAACCUGAG
rnacentral:misc_RNA from 1 species